UACGUAGGGUGCAAGCGUUGUCCGGAAUUAUUGGGCGUAAAGAGCUCGUAGGCGGUUUGUCGCGUCGAAUGUGAAAUCCCGGGGCUCAACCCCGGUCUGCAUUCGAUACGGGCAGACUAGAGUUCGGUAGGGGAGUCUGGAAUUCCUGGUGUAGCGGUGAAAUGCGCAGAUAUCAGGAGGAACACCGGUGGCGAAGGCGGACUCUGGGCCGAUACUGACGCUGAGGAGCGAAAGCGUGGGAGCAAACAGG
rnacentral:rRNA from 1 species